rnacentral:rRNA from 1 species
UACGUAGGGUGCAAGCAUUAUCCGGAGUGACUGGGCGUAAAGAGUUGCGUAGGUGGUCAGUAAAGUGAAUAGUGAAAUGUGGCGGCUCAACCGUACACACUAUUAUUCAAACUCACUGACUCGAGAAUGGUAGAGGUAACUGGAAUUUCUAGUGUAGGAGUGAAAUCCGUAGAUAUUAGAAGGAACACCAAUGGCGUAGGCAGGUUACUGGACCAUUUCUGACACUAAGGCACGAAAGCGUGGGGAGCGAACCGG